rnacentral:rRNA from 1 species
GACGAACGCUGGCGGCGUGCUUAACACAUGCAAGUCGAACGCUGAAGCCCUUUCGGGGGUGGAUGAGUGGCGAACGGGUGAGUAACACGUGGGUAAUCUGCCCUGCACUCUGGGAUACGCCUUGGAAACGGGGUCUAAUACCGGAUAGGACACAUCGCCGCAUGGUGUGUGUGUGGAAAGUUCGGGCGGUGCAGGUUGAGCCCGCGGCCUAUCAGCUUGUUGGUGGGGUGAUGGCCUACCAAGGCGACGACGGGUAGCCGGCCUGAGAGGGUGACCGGCCACACUGGGACUGAGACACGGCCCAGACUCCUACGGGAGGCAGCAGUGGGGAAUCUUGCGCGAUGGGCGAAAGCCUGACGCAGCAACGCCGCGUGGGGGAUGACGGCCUUCGGGUUGUAAACCUCUUUCGACCGGGACGAAGGGUGACUGACGGUACCGGUAGAAGAAGCACCGGCUAACUACGUGCCAGCCGCCGCCGUAA